GUUGUGCUGGCCAGUCACAGUGCCUGCCAGACUGCAGCCAGCUGGAGACACUUUUUUACCCCAAAGCCUCUCUUCUGCAGCUGAACACUGAAGAAAUGCACUGAAGACAGGGUUUUGCAGUUUUGCCCUCCAUUAAUUCCCUCCAAAACUGAAGGAGGUUCACAGCUUAGCUGUGUUUUUGACUUGAUCAGUCACUGGACUCAUUAUGGAAAGCAUCUGUGAGAUCCUACAUUUUCUAAGACCACCUCAAUCUGAGCAAAAUUAUGAGGUCAGGUAGAAGGUGUUAAUCACCUCCAUAUUGUAUUGCCUUGCACAGCAUUACCACGCAGGUCUGGCUGAGGUGAAUGAUGCAUAGAGGUCACAGCAUGCCUGCAAAUUGAUGGAACCAACUGGCAUGGGUGCUGCCCUUAAUCUGCCCUGAGCAGCACUGCAUUCUCUCUCUCCAAAUUUUGAUUAAAAUAGAUUUCUCUACCCUUCUCCAAAUCAGUAGAAAUUCAUGGAGCUUGCUUGGGACCUGGGUGAAGUCCUGCACAACUACAUUAAUCCCCUAAUUGAAAGUCAUAGCCAGCUGAGAAAGAUGGGAAACAGGGCUGCUCUGUGAGAAGCUGGCUUGGUACUCCUAGAAGGAAAAACAAGGGUGGCCUCCUUCUCUGUGGAGUGGAGCUUCAGAUGCCUCCAAACCCCUGUUGAAGAGAAAGCUGAAAAAUACCCAUGUCAUAAAACGGUACUACAUUUUCCUGCUUAGUUCUGGCCUGGACAUAGAAAGAAAUCCUCUUACCCUCAGCGCUACAGAUGAGAAGUUUUGUGUGAGGGUCUCUUUUGGUCCAGCUCUUCUGACUCUGCGUUCUUGUUGUGCACCACUGCGAGCAGCUAACACCACUGCCAAGACCUAUAGACUCCAUAUUCCUAGGGAUUUGAAGGAACUUCAGAGCAGCCUUCAGAGGAGGACUGCUUGGACUUUAAAAUCACGUAUCAACCAGCUGGCUCUAUGAAGUUUGGACUGCAAUAUUAUGUGAUGAUAGCUGAUGGGGAUAUGGUUUGAUCCUCAGUGAGAAACCAUUUUGGGGAUGGAGAAGGAAAAGACUUCUGUGGAGCAUCUAACUUUGAAAGCACAGACACCAACAAAAAUUCAUACAUACAUACAAACAAACAUACAUAUGUAUGUUAAUGUAUAUGUGUGUGUGUGUGUAUAUUUAUAUAAAAUUACUUUUUCAUGUCAGAAGAGGGUCAGGUCUGUGGUGGCUGGUAUAAACAGCUGCACACCAGAGCAGCUGGUGAACACAUGUGAACACGUGGGAGGGAGGUAGCAUGAGCAAGGAUGAAAUAGCAUGGCUGGCAUGGAAUUUCUUCUUAGAGAGAGACUGCUGCUGCCUCUGUACAGCUUCUCUGGCUUUCCCUAGGGUUAAGUUGCUUAUUUAACCUGUCUCACAGUAAAUAAGACUUGGAAGAGCUUCAUACAAGCUUUGACUUCACACAAAACGUGACACCCUUCCAUGUGCCAGGGUUGAGCAGAUAAACAGACAAAGCUGAAGAGCCCUUCCACAAAGCAGCUCUUUCCAGAUACUUCUCAGGAUGUGAGCACCAAUGUUGAGCUUAUCCAGCUCUCAAGGGGACAUGAUAUUUUUGUCUGUAGGAAAUGCUUUUUGUUUCUGUCUAAAAGGAGAAUAUGGGCAAUGCUGCCUUCUGAAAACUGCAGUAAGAAGCUGCUUUCAAUGCCUUCCCCACUUUUCUUAUUGCUCCCCAGUUAAAUUUCACAUGGAUUUCAUUUAUUGUGCUUAAUGGCUUAGC